rnacentral:rRNA from 1 species
UACGUAGGGUGCGAGCGUUACUCGGAAUUACUGGGCGUAAAGCGUGCGCAGGCGGUUCGUUAAGUUCGAUGUGAAAGCCCCGGGCUCAACCUGGGAAUUGCAUUGGAAACUGGCGGGCUUGAGUGUGGCAGAGGGGGGUGGAAUUCCACGUGUAGCAGUGAAAUGCGUAGAGAUCCGGAAGAACACCGGUGGCGAAGGCGGUUAGCUGGGCAGUUGCUGACACUGAGGCGCGACAGCGUGGGGAGCAAACAGG